rnacentral:lncRNA from 1 species
AUUGACUCAAAUUUGGAACGGAUUAAAUUUUAUUAUAUUUUUUUUGCUCACACUUACUGUUACGACAAACGCACAAACGGAAACAAAAUGACGAACACGAAACAAUCAAACCAUAAGCAGAAAAUAAAGAGAACACAUAGAUUUACGUGAAAAAUUCUUUGCAGAAAAAAAUCACAGGUGAGAGAGGAGGAAACUUCACUAUCAAACGAAAAAGGGAAUACAAUGUUCAGAGAUUACAACCAACCACGAUCUUAUGCCUCUAGGGCAAAAACGUAGAAGAAAACUCUUAACGGGUUUCGCAUCCGAUCCGUACCGUGAGGGGCGGAGUCCCUCGCACCCCCUGGCGAAUGUCAGUGGUGAGCUACGAGCUCAGGCCUGUCGGCCCGAGCCCUUCGCUACCCACCACAGAUAUUUAUUUUUCCUUCAUAAUUUUAUUUUUCCAAAUUGGUCGCACCGCGAAGCUGUCAGCGAAUCGAAAACUCGAACUUGAGUCGAUUAUCAAUUUCGAGUCACAUCUAACGCUUACCAU